GCGAUCUCAACUCAGGUGAGAACACCCACUCAGUUUAAGCAUAUAAUUAAGCAGAGAAAAAGAAACUUACAAGGAUUCCCCUAGUAGCAGCAAGCGAAUCGGGAAGAACCCAGCAUGAAAAUCGGGCGACAGCGUCACCUGAAUUGUAGUCUGUAGAAGCGUCCUCAGUGGCAGACCUGGGCCAAGUCCCUUGGAAGGGGGUGCCUGAGAGGGUGACAACCCCGUCAUCCCGGGACCUUGCCGCACCAUGAGGCGUUGUCACAGAGUCGGGUUGUUUGGGAAUGUAGCCCUAAUUUGGUGGUAAAUUCUGUCCAAGGCUAAAUAUGGGUGAGAGACCGAUAGCGAACAAGUACCACGAGGGAAAGAUGAAAAGGAAUUUGAAAAGAGAGUUAAAGAGUGCUUGAAAUUGCUGGGAGAGAAGCGGAUGGAGGCUCUCAAUGCGUCUUGGUUGGAUGUGGAAUGGCUCAGGCUGGUCCGCCAUUCGACUUGAGGUGCAAUCCAACACGGGCUGCUGCAUCGUCACAAGCAUGGGCCGAUUGUUGCCUGUUGGUUUUCCACUGUGGUGGUUGAGGAAUGAAGCAUGCGCCCUUGCGGCAGGCCGUGUGCACCUGCGCGCUCAUGGUGUUAGUGGGCGAGCUUUCCAUUCGACCUAUCUUGAAACACGGACCAAGGAGUCUAACAUGUGUGCGAGUCAGCGAGUUUGAAAACCUACGAGGUGCAAGGAACCUGACGGGCAAGAUCCCCUCUCUAGGGGGGUGCAUCGUCAACCGACCUUGAGCUUAUGUGAAGGGUUCAAGUGCGGGCACACCUAUUGGGACCCGAAAGAUGGUGAACUAUGCUUGACCAGGGCGAAGCUAGAGGAAACUCUAGUGGAGGCUAGUAGCGAUACUGAUGUGCAAAUCAUUUUUCUCACUUGGGUAUAGGGGCAAAAGACUAAUUGAACCAUCUAGUAGCUGGUCUCCUCCAAAUUUUCCCUCAGGAUAGCUAGAGCUCACGUUCGAGUUUUAUCGGGUAAAGUAAAUGAUUAGAGGCAUCGAGGGCGUAACGCCCUCAACCUAUUCUCAAACUUUAAAUAGGUAAGAGGGUGCGGCUUCUCCAUUGAGCCGCGUCGUGGAAUCGAGAGCUCCAAGUGGGCCAUUUUUGGUAAGUAGAACUGGCGAUGCGGGAUGAGCUGAAAGUCAAGUUACGGUGCCAGAUUGCGCACUAACCUAGAUCCCACAAAGGGUGUUGGUUGAUUAAAGCAGCAGGACAGUGGUCAUGGAAGUCGAAAUAUGCUAAGGAGUGUGUAACAACUCACCUACCGAAUCAACUAGCCCCGAAAAUGGAUGGCGCUAAAGCGCGCAACUUAUACUCGUCCGUCAGAGAAAUUGCCUGGCUCUGAUGAGUAGGAGGAUGCAGGGGUCGUUGAGAAACCUCGGGCGUUAGCUUGGGUGGAUCAGCCCCAGUGGAGAUCUUGGUGGUAGUAGCAAAUAUUCAAAUGAGAACUUUGAAGGCUGAAGUGGGGAAAGGUUCCAUGUGAACAACACUUGGACAUGGGUUAGUCAAUCCUAAGAGAUGGGGAAGCCUUGUAUCAAGGGUGCACUCUGCGUGAGCAUCGAAUGGGAAUCGGGUUAAUAUUCCUGAAUCGGACAUGGCGACGGACGACAACUUUAGGAAAUCCGGAGAUGUCGUCGGGGUCCCGGGAAGACUUAUCUUUUCUUUUUAAUAGCUUGCCCACCCUGGAAUCAGUUCACCUGGAGAUAGGGUCUAGCAGCUGGAAGAGCACCGCACAUCUUGUAGUGUCUGGUGUGCCCUCGGCGGCCCUUGAAAAUCUGGAGGACUGAGUACCAUUCAUGCCCAGUUGUACUCAUAACCGCAUCAGGUCUCCAAGGUGAACAACCUCUGGUCAAUAAAACAAUGUAGGUAAGGGAAGUCGGUAAAACGGAUCCGUAACUUCGGGAAAAGGAUUGGCUAUGAGGGCUUGGCAUAGGGGUCUGCAUCCUCAACUCGUGGGCUAUCGACAGUCUGCCCGAGCUGCUCUCGCAGCGAUGGCGGGCAGUCGCGUGAUGAUUGGGCUACAGGCGUGGAAUGCCCCUAUCAGUGGCUUUUCCCUAGGCGUCGAAUAGUCGACUCAGAACUAGUAAGGACAAGGGGAAUCUGACUAUUCAAUUAAAAAUAAUCAUUGCGAUGGUCCCUGCAGAUGCUGACGCAAUUUGAUUUCUGCCCAGUGCUCUGAAUGUCAAGGUGAAGAAAUUCAACCAAGCGCGGGUAAACGACGGGGUAACUAUGACUCUCUUAAGGUAGCCAAAUGCCUCAUCAUUUAAUUAGUGAUGCACAUGAAUAGAUUAAUGAGAUUCCCACUGUCCAUCUACUAUCUAGCGAAACCACAGCCAAGGGAAUGGGCUUGGCAGAAUCAGUGGGGAAAGAAGACCCUGUUGAGCUUGACUCUAGUCCGACUUUGUGAAAUGACUUGAGAGGUGUAGAAUAAGUGGGAGUCGUUCUCGGCGUAAGUGAAAUACCAGUACUUUUAACGUUAUUUUACUUGUUUCGUGGGGCAAAGAUGGGGCACUGCCCCUGUUUUUGGCCUUAAGGCACGUUUUGGCGGGUCAAUUCAGGUGGAAGACAUUGUCAGGUGGGGAGUUUGGCUGGGGCGGCACAUCUAUUUAAAGAUAACGCAGGUGUCCUAAGAUGAGCUCAACGAUAAUAGAAAUAUCGUGUGGAACAAAAGGGUAAAAGCUCAUUUGAUUUUUAUUUUCAGUAUGAAUACAAACUGCGAAAGCGUGGCCUAUUGAUCCUUUAGAUUUUCAGAAUUUGAAGCUAGAGGUGUCAGAAAAGUUACCACAGGGAUAACUGGCUUGUGGCAGCCAAGCGUUUAUAGCGACGUUUCUUUUUGAUCCUUCGAUGUCGGCUCUUCCUAUAAUUGUGAAGUAUAAUUCACCAAGUGUUGGAUUGUUCACCCACCAAUAGGGAACGUGAGUUGGGUUUAGACCAUCGUGAGACAAGUUAGUUUUACCCUACUAAUGAACCACACCGUAAUAGUAAUUCAACUUAGUAUGAGAGGAACCACUGAUUCACACGAUUGGUCAUUGCGCUUGGUUGAAAACCCAGUGGCGCGAAGCUAACGUGUGUCGGAUUAUGACUGAACGCCUCUAAGUUAGAAUCCACGCUAGAAGCGGUGCAUGUCACUCUUCCACUGUAUCGCAACCUUCAGUAGGGGCAUCGCUUUUUUGCCCACAGGGGCCUGUGUCAUUUUCAAUCCACAACCGUGAAGCAUCUUGGUUAGGGCAACUUUGAAGUUCAAUUCCAAAUGGUCGUUGAGAAGAAUCCUUUGCAGAUGACAUAAAUACUCGAUGGGGUAUUGUAAGUGGUAGAGUGGCCUUGCUACCACGAUCCACUAAGAUUUAGC
rnacentral:rRNA from 1 species